AGAAGCAUCAAUUGGUUGCCACCUAGGAUGGAACCCGCAACCUAGUGCCCUCUUCUUCCCUCGGCACCUCCCACAACCACAAGCCUGAGGCUCUCAGUCAACGUGGAAUUCACAAGCAUUUUUGAGCUACUUCUACUGUAAUGCCAAGCAACGUGAUCCUACAGUCCACCACAGUCUCCAGCAGUCCCCAGGAUUUCUGCUGGAACUAUGUUCUCUGAGAUACCUCUGCCAUUUGGCUCUUCUUCCUGCAUAGCUGCUGCUGAACUGGACAACUCCUUCACUGGAAUCUGCCAGGAAUAAAUCACCCCAAACAAGCAUUUUUGUGAAUGAAGUACCAGUUACAAAAUUGGUGGGGCCCUGGCCCAGUGGCUCAGUUGGUUGGAGCAUCAUCCCCAUGCACCAAAAGUUUGCAGGAUCACUGUAUCUAACACAGCUCUGGCACAAAGAAGCCCAGCAGCAAAAG